AUGCAAUGUGGAUUUAACUUGUCAUUGAUGAAUGGUCAAAUAGUUAUUAACUUAUUUUAUCCAUAACCAAACAAUAACAGCGCGUGACCCCCACACGCACUCAAAUUUUCUCUCUCGAAGCAAUUUUCUGCGACAACCCUAAUCCGCCGCAUCUUGGCUCUCCGGUGUCCGGUUACGACCGGCACCGUGAGAGGGUUCAAGGAUACUUGGUCCGAAUCCACCUCUGCACUUGAAGACGUCGGUAAAUUGAUUCGGCUCUGUUUCUCGUGGCGAGUGUCGAAGGUCCGCUGUGCGCGAUGGCCGUUCUCGGUGGCUAAAAUAUCAUGUCUUUGCCUCCACUGCUUGUAGACGGUGGUGGAUCAAGGUAGAGGCUUCGAUUUCUGGUCCUUGCGUCUCGCAUCUCAAUCGGCAGAGCAAAUUGUGUUUGUAGAUUUGUUUUCAGGUCGCCUUCUUCCUGGUGUUUCCGGCGGUCGAGUGUGCUACCCUUGGCUAUGUCGUGGUGUAGCGUGUACUCUUUGCUCGGAAUCAUUUUUUUUCCAAGAUCUGUCUUGGUCUAACCGCCGUGUUUCGGCUCGUGUCUGCCGGAGAGGGAGCUUGCACCUUUUGCAUUAUGGCGUGUGAGGUUCCGUUCUGAGAAAGCUCAUGGAUUGAAACGAAGAAACAAUCUCACAUAACGCAGGAAGAGUUUGUGAUCGAUGUUUUGGAGUCUUACCGUUGACGGCUUGGUCUCGGGCCUCCUGCGAAAGGUUUCUAUAGCUAAUUAUUAGUCGUAACAAGGUGUCUUACAAUCUGCAUCAGCCCUUCUCCUUUUGCAACUCAUUCGGGAAGGACAUCAUAAACGUCAUCGCUUCAUCUUGUUCCCAAAGCUUCUUGGCUUGGUUGAGCAGAUGGACCGAAAACUUGGUUUAAUUACCGUAAUAUGCUUUCAUGUUUUUUAACCUUUUUGCCAUGAAACCAUAUGUAUAGGUUUCAAUUCUUUGAAUUGUAACCUAAAUUUUUUUCA